CCCUUAGAUGCUCUGGGCCGCACGCGCGCUACACUGGUCGAUGCAACGAGUUUCUUUCCUUGGCCGACAGGCCUGGGCAAUCUUUGAACAUCGAUCGUGAUCGGGAUAGAUUCUUGUAAUUUUUGAUCUUAAACGAGGAAUUCCUGGUAAACGCAAGUCAUCAGCUUGCAUUGAUUACGUCCCUGCCCUUUGUACACACCGCCCGUCGCACCUACCGAUUGAAUGGUCCGGUGAAAUCUCCGGACUGGCGUGAGUCGGAGCAAUCUGACAAACACCGGAAAGUUGAUUAAACCUUACCAUUUAGAGGAAGGUGAAGUCGUAACA
rnacentral:rRNA from 1 species